UUUGCGGUGAGGGUCCACCCGUUCCCAUCCCGAACACGGAAGUUAAGCUCACUAGUGCCGACGAUACUUGGCUGGAAACGGCCUGGGACAAUAGGGAGACGC
rnacentral:rRNA from 1 species